rnacentral:rRNA from 1 species
GGGGAAUCUUAGACAAUGGGGGAAACCCUGAUCUAGCCAUGCCGCGUGAGCGAUGAAGGCCUUAGGGUUGUAAAGCUCUUUCAGUGGGGAAGAUAAUGACUGUACCCACAGAAGAAGCCCCGGCUAACUCCGUGCCAGCAGCCGCGGUAAUACGGAGGGGGCUAGCGUUGUUCGGAAUUACUGGGCGUAAAGCGCACGUAGGCGGAUCAGAAAGUCAGAGGUGAAAUCCCAGGGCUCAACCUUGGAACUGCCUUUGAAACUCCGGGUCUUGAGGUCGAGAGAGGUGAGUGGAAUUCCGAGUGUAGAGGUGAAAUUCGUAGAUAUUCGGAGGAACACCAGUGGCGAAGGCGGCUCACUGGCUCGAUACUGACGCUGAGGUGCGAAAGCGUGGGGAGCAAAC